AAAACUUUCAACAACGGAUCUCUUGGUUCUGGCAUCGAUGAAGAACGCAGCGAAAUGCGAUAAGUAAUGUGAAUUGCAGAAUUCAGUGAAUCAUCGAAUCUUUGAACGCACAUUGUGCCCCUUGGUAUUCCGGGGGGCAUGCCUGUUCGAGCGUCAUUA
rnacentral:rRNA from 1 species